rnacentral:rRNA from 1 species
CCUACGGGUGGCAGCAGUCGGGAAUAUUGCGCAAUGGAGGAAACUCUGACGCAGUGACGCCGCGUGCAGGAAGAAGGUUUCCGGUUUGAAACUUGUUUUAGACAGGGCAGAAAAAAGACAGUACCUGUAGAAUAAGCCCCGGCUAACCACGUGCCAGCAGCCGCGGUAAUACGUAGGGAGCAAGCGUUAUCCGGAUUUAUUGGGUGUAAAGGGUGCGUAGACGGAGAAGCAAGUUAGUUGUGAAAUCCCUCGGCUUAACUGAGGAACUGCAACUAAAACUACUUCCCUUGAGUGCUGGAGAGGAAAGUGGAAUGCCUAGUGUAGCGGUGAAAUGCGUAGAUAUUAGGAGGAACACCAGUGGCGAAGGCGAGUUUCUGGACAGUAACUGACGUUGAGGUACGAAAGUGUGGGGAGCAAACAGGAUUAGAUACCCCUGUAGUC